CCUACGGGGCGCAGCAGUGGGGAAUUGUUCGCAAUGGGCGCAAGCCUGACGACGCAACGCCGCGUGGAGGAUGAAGAUCUUCGGGUCGUAAACUCCUGUCGAAUGGGACGCGGUACCGUUAAAGGAAACCCCGGCUAACUCCGUGCCAGCAGCCGCGGUAAUACGGGGGGGGUAAGCGUUGUUCGGAAUUACUGGGCGUAAAGGGCUCGUAGGCGGCCAACUAAGUCACACGUGAAAUCCCUCAGCUUAACUGGGGAACUGCGUGUGAUACUGGAUGGCUUGGAUCCGGGAGAGGGAUGCGGAAUUCCAGGUGUAGCGGUGAAAUGCGUAGAUAUCUGGAGGAACACCGGUGGCGAAGGCGGCAUCCUGGACCGGAUUGACGCUGAGGAGCGAAAGCCAGGGGAGCAAACGGGAUUAGAUACCCUAGUAGUC
rnacentral:rRNA from 1 species